rnacentral:rRNA from 1 species
UACGGGGGGGGCAAGCGUUGUUCGGAAUUACUGGGCGUAAAGGGUUUGUAGGUGGCCCGCUAAGUCACACGUGAAAUCCCUCAGCUUAACCGGGGAACUGCGUCUGAUACUGGAUGGCUUGAGUUUGGGAGAGGGAUGCGGAAUUCCAGGUGUAGCGGUGAAAUGCGUAGAUAUCUGGAGGAACACCGGUGGCGAAGGCGGCAUCCUGGACCAACACUGACGCUGAUGAGCGAAAGCCAGGGGAGCAAACGGG